CCAGAAUAACAAUGCUGUCUUCAGCAAGAAAGCAAAAGUCUUCACAGCAGGUUGGUGACACAUGGAUAUUGGAGACCAGGACAAGCUUCAGACAGACAGCUGGGAAAAUCAAAGUUUUAAGAGGAACUGUUUGGCUUUCAGUGGAUAAUAUAUCUAUGAAGCAUGGGAGACUUUCUGGACUUUCGGAGGCAGCCCAGCAAGGUAUAAAAUCCUGCAUCACUUGAGCUUCUCCUGCUGCAUUGGCUGGGUAUGUUGAAGAAAACAGUUUAAAGAGCUGAAAACCAAGGAGACAUGACAUCAGACCUGAAAUUUUAGUCCUCAUCAAUUGAACAUAUAAAAUGGACCCAGCAGCUGAUGAACCAUGCCAGGGUUUAAUUCUUCAGCGCUGGAUGAUGCAGGAAUCCAGAGGCCUGAAUGCAAGCCUGAUUUGAACAGGCCAGUGCAUCUUUAGUUUCUGCAUAAGUCAAUUAGCACCCCGUAUCAAUUUGUGCUAAUUCCCAGUCUCUGCAACUUUUCCAGGCCUCUUAUGCAAAUCAGGCCUGGAAGCAAACAACAAGUGAGUGACCCAGAAGGCUGGUACGGGGCUGGGCACCAUUGUUCUCAGGCCAGGAAUUUCAGUGCUCCAUUUGUUCAUGGAGUAACUAAAAAAAAUGAGAAGCCACAAGGAUAACUACCUCCUCAGGCUUAAUUAUUGUACCCUUUGUACUGUUCUUCCCAGGGUAGAAAAAGAGGCAUUCAUGGUCCUCUCACUACAUUUAGAUUCACUGGAUUGUUUUUCACUGUUCCUUUAAAUAUAGAGGAAGAAAACUGAAACUAGAAUGACAAGAGGUUUUAAAGUCAACCCCGUUUUGUACCCACAAAUUGUGCCAUGAAAUCAGAAAUACCUUGGUAGCAUUAUCCUGGUGAUCUGGAAAAUGACUUAAAAAUGUAGCACAUUUAGGAGUUGAAUCAGGGUCCUUCAAAUGAAGAUUCAAUCAUGGAAAAUUUAGUUAGACCACACCUGUACUGAUCUGUUAAUUUAAAGGUAUUGGAGUAAAAAUGGGCUCAAGCUGCAAAACUCAAGUAGAUUUCCAACACCGUAGCUGUUCAAGGAUGCAUCCUGGGAUUUGGUGCA